UUUAUAGAAUGGUUUGAAAAUUUGAAGAAUCAAGAAAAAGGUUGUUCAAAAAGCAUUCUUUCGAAAAAAAUCAAUGAAUUUAACGCGGAAAACGACAUGUUAAGUAGUUCUUUGAAAAACAAAGAAACUGAGUUUCUCAAGGAAUUUAGUGACUUCAUAAGAACAAGCUGGAAUCAGACAAUAGCUUUUCAGCUUCGUAACGAAGAUUUGACGAAUGAAUUAUCGAAAUUAGAUGCGUUGAAUACGGAACUUAAGAAGCAAAUAAAUAAUUUUGAAAACCACAAGUCAUAUACUAGUAAAGUAAAGGUU
rnacentral:misc_RNA from 1 species